rnacentral:tRNA from 1 species
GGUUCCAUGGUGUAAUGGUUAGCACUAUGAAUCCAGCGAUCUGAGUUCAAAUCUCGGUGGGACCU